UACGUAGGUGACAAGCGUUAUCCGGAAUUACUGGGCGUAGAGCGCACGCAGGCGGCGCGGUAAGUCUGAUGUGAAAUCUCCCGGCUUAACUGGGAGGGGUCAUUGGAAACUGCCGAGCUUGAGGCGAUGAGAGGGGUGUAGAAUUCCCGGUGUAGUGGUGGAAUGCGUAGAUAUCGGGAGGAAUACCAGUGGCGAAAGCGGCACCCUGGCAUUAGCCUGACGCUCAUGUGCGAAGGCGUGGGGAGCGAACGGG
rnacentral:rRNA from 1 species